AUACGGAGGGGGCUAGCGUUGUUCGGAAUUACUGGGCGUAAAGCGCGCGUAGGCGGUUGUUCAAGUUGGGCGUGAAAGCCCGGGGCUCAACCUCGGAACUGCCUUCAAUACUGUUGAUCUUGAGUCCGAGAGAGGUGAGUGGAAUUCCUAGUGUAGAGGUGAAAUUCGUAGAUAUUAGGAAGAACACCAGUGGCGAAGGCGGCUCACUGGCUCGGUACUGACGCUGAGGUGCGAAAGCGUGGGGAGCAAACAGGAUUAGAAACCCCGGUAGUCC
rnacentral:rRNA from 1 species